rnacentral:rRNA from 1 species
AGAGUUUGAUCAUGGCUCAGGAUGAACGCUGGCGGCGUGCCUAAUACAUGCAAGUCGAGCGAAUGGAUUAAGAGCUUGCUCUUAUGAAGUUAGCGGCGGACGGGUGAGUAACACGUGGGUAACCUGCCCAUAAGACUGGGAUAACUCCGGGAAACCGGGGCUAAUACCGGAUAACAUUUUGAACCGCAUGGUUCGAAAUUGAAAGGCAGCUUCGGCUGUCACUUAUGGAUGGACCCGCGUCGCAUUUCUAGUUGGUGAGGUAACGGCUCACCAAGGCAACAAUGCGUAGCCGACCCGACAGGGUGAUCGGCACACUGGACUGAAAACGGCCAUAUUCCUAGGGAGGU